AUGGGACUGAUUGUGUGGCAGGCAUUUAAAAUUCAGCUGUGGUCGGCCCGUCUUCCAGUGCCCCCCAAACCGCUGAGCUCUUUCAUCAUCUGCCUGCCUCCCUCCAGCUUCCCCGUGGUUCCUCCAAGGCUCCUUUGUGGCUGUAAUCAAAGCCUGGUGAGUGAUGGCUGUUCGGGGGGGAGGGAAGGAAGGGACAGCGGAGGGUGGCUUGCCCGCCCUGAGAGCUGCUGGGGUAGUGGUGGCAGGUCCGCAGGGUGCUGGGUGCCUGUGGGUGCUGGUGGUGGGUGCUGGAGCACCCCCAGCACUGGGAGGCUGGCGGGACGCAGCAUCCCCAGCACUGGGAGCUGGGCACCAUUGCCAUUCUACUGAUGGACCCAUACGGCUCUGCAGGGGCUGAGGGAAACGCGCUGCUGCCUGUAUUCAUGCCUCAGAGCCAGGGAAUCCCCGUCGCCGCCCGCCUGGCCGGACCCUUCAUA
rnacentral:lncRNA from 1 species